rnacentral:lncRNA from 1 species
GCUUCCUCUGUGUCUACAAUUGAUCUCAGAUACUCAAAUGUUGCCUUACCCCAUCGUCUAAAAAAUCAAGAGGAAUAUUAAUUAAUCUUAAUUAAUAGAAUGUAUUGAUUACUGCACUAAGGCAAUUUUAUGGUAAUUGCUAAAUAUACAGAAUAUGCUAUAGCCUGCAUAGCAGGCGCUAUUUUUUAGGAGGGGGCAAGGGUGGGAGAAGUUAAGGGGGGGGGGGAAAGAAAGAGAGCAAGGACUACCCCUUUCUUGCCCCUUCCAUUUUUUCCUCACUCCUUUCUCUUGCCCCCCCCCCCCCCCCCCCCCCCCCCCCCCCCCCCCCCCCCCCCCCCCACCACCCCCCCC